AAGGAAAACAAUUAGUUACCUAUUCUGCUAAAUGGAAUUCACUGCAAAUGGAGAUAUAUUUUCAGUCGUCUAUAGAUAAAAGCCCCAUUAUCUUAUGUAUCACACAUAAGCAGGACUAACAUGAUAGAGGAAUAGCAAGUGAAGCUUUAAAAUGGGUGAAAAAUCAUGUUGCACUGAUACUGCAAGAUGGCAUCUAUGAAGUAUUCAUCUGACUUUAUCCUGGGAAGGAAAGAAAAACCCCUCAGAACCAGAAGGAAAUCAGUCAAGCAAACAUGUACCUGUUUCUCUUCCCGUCUGACGUGUCCCCAGGUUAAUGACAGGUGUACCAAACGCUCCCACCUCUCUGACACCACAGCUGCUGUUACCAAUCAUACAACCAGCAUGAGCAACCAGCUGAAUGAACUGGUCAAAUGGGACAUGCUUUACUGCCCGAAAAUUGGGAUGAUGUUCGAUGCCCUUCUUCCUCAUCACGCGAACCAUCUCUUUGCUUCCUGCAGAAAAACAAGGCAGAAUAAAUUAUUCGAGUUCUAUUUUAAAAUGGAAGUCCAGACGAGUAAAGGAGACAGCAUUCACUCAGUUGCCAGCUCUGAGUAAGUUUUGUUCUCUUUUUAUUUAAGUUGCAUAGCUAGGCACAUGAGCCCACGUUUGACCCAAAAAUCCACUGCAAAAGCCUCUUCAUAGUUUGAAGUUAAUUUAUGAGGCACUAAUAUUGCUCCUACAUGUCACAUGACUUCCCUUCAAAAGUAUCCUUUUCUGUGUCCCUCUGUCACGAAGGUAUUCUACUCACCUGCAUCCACAUUAGGGAACAGAACAAGUGUUCUCUUGUUGAAGGAGAUGAGUGCAUCUAGUGUCAGCUCAAACAUCUUUAUGGAAUGUUUAAUAUCUGUGGUCACGGGAUGUUGCAGAGCAACUAUAUAAUCUCUAGUUUUGACAUCUUCACCUGUCCAAAUGGAGGCAAAGAAAGAAUUUUUUUAAUUGGCAUGGAAUACCAAGAGGAAGGAAGGUCAUACUUUUGAAAAUACUGAUGUGAAAGCCUGAAGAGUUAAGGCACUGAAUGGGAUAUCUAACACUUGUUCAGCCCAAAGAAAUUACCCAUUUAAGGAGUUACUUUUUUGACUUGACAAAAGGACCAGAAGUGUUCACUAGGACAGACUUGGAGCUUUUGGGCUAAACAAGGCAGACUACAGAACAAAAGAAAAAGAAAGGAAACGUAGAAAGAAAGAAAUACCAGAGAGAAGCUUGUCAUACGAGGGACAGCCCGCCAAAAGGAUGCGGUCGUGGUCUUCACACAUGGCUAUCAAAUGCUGCUCUGCACUCCUUGUGCAGCACACGUGGUAAUGGGCCAGCUUGGUUAUGGCAUGUCUGAUGGAGUCAUCGAUGGUCCCACUGACUUCCCCACCCUCGAUGUGGAGGAUGCGAAUGUUCAUCAGGGCUGCAGAUGUGGCCAGGGCCAGAGCGUCGAACCUGUCCCCGUGAACUAUCAUUAUGUCAGGUUUCAGGCGGUUGAGGACAUCUGGUAACUUGACUAAUGCAAGGCCCACUGACUCCACCAUAGCUGCCUCAUCCUCCCCUCUCACGAUGGUGUGCAGUCUUGUAUGGAUGUCGAAGUCAUCUUGUUCAAUCAUACGAUAGGUAUUUCUGAAGGUAAGAGAAGAAGGGUGAGAGGAAACACAGCUUGGUUUUACAGCAACACAGCCUGACAAAAUAAAUGCAAAUUGGAACAGCUGCACUGGGGUUUGAACAAAGGCUUGCUUAUCACAUCUCCCUCUUUAAGAAAAAUUAGAUUUUAAGAUUUUAACAGAAUAUUCUCAUCCAUGUGAAGAUUCUGCCUCAUAUUGCAAGCAUAAAGUUUUCCUAGACAUCUUUAAUGAGGAGAUUGGCUGAACAUGCUCUGGAAAUGCUCAAAAAUCAAACUCUUUGUUCAUGUGUUUGCAGAGCCUUUCAGAGAAUAGAUAGGGCACAAUUUCCUUUCAGAAAAGGUAUGUUUAUCGACUUCACUGGACAACUGUAUAAAUACAACAGACACAAUGCAAAGCUGAGGCCUGUAUGCUCAAGGAAAACAUCCUGUAGCUAGGAUAUAUUAUUCACAUUCUGUAUUUGAGCUGUAUCAAGAAUCUGCACAAAGCCUUAAGUUCAAUGGAAAACAGGCUUUCACACCAAAGAAAAGAAGUUUUUUUCAACCACACUACCAGCUUUAGUCCACAAUAAGAAAGUUAAAACAUUCCUUGGAUACUGAGAAUUAUUACUGUUUACAGUAAUGUAUGUGAAAUAGAAGAGAUCACACAUCUGCAUAAAACUACCUGUUUACAACAGUCACUAAAACUGACCUUAGUAGUCUGCACACUACUGGAAUUCCUGUCUGGACCGUAAGAGAAAAAACACAGAAGUUUUCCAAUUUUGUUUUCAAUCCAUCUGACAUUCAUUGUCUUAGUAAAAGGAUUACAUUUUUAAACUGAUUUAAACUGGAUUUAAUUUUCAUUAAAUUUACUCUUCUACUCAUAUUCUGCAACUUAGUAUCUCACAAUCUGCAAGCUGAGCUGAGAUGGCAAAGACUAUAAAGCGCUCCAACUCAAGUAAAGAAGUGAUCCCCAAUCUGCAUAACUAAAGGAAACUCUAUCUAUUUAUCUAUUUGAUUCUGCUCACUGCUGUAACACAGGAUAUAUUGCCUACAAGUAACUUGUAAGGUAAUUUGUAUUUCUUUUUGAUUUCUGUUUUGUUUUUUUAAAAGGCAAAUCCUUUUUGUUUUACUGAGUGAAGUGGCUCAGAUUUUUAUAGCAUAAAACUGCAUUAUGUUUCCAACUCCACUUAAAAAUACCCUUCAUAUACCUGCCUUUUUCCCUAUUAUGUGCAUUUACCUCAAAAAAACCUUCCUUCUCUUUGCUUCUAUAUUUUUUUUGCCUUUUGAAAGGUCAAAAUCUAGGGAACAAAUGAUUGUGCAUUUCUGAUGGUUUUGUUUCUUUUACUAUCCUCCACACAUUUCAAUAACAAACAUUUCACAGGAUCACUGUCAUUUGACUUCUGCUGCUGUUGACUAUCCUCCUCACAUCCCUAGAACACAUAUCCCUAGGAUUCCCCAGAUUAAGGACAGCAGGGCUAGGCCCUGAAAAAAAACCCCCAAGCAGUACCUUGGUUUUAGGAUACUUAUCACAAAGCAACUAACAGCAACAUCAUUUGUCAGACCAAAAUCUCUACUGAUUGCUUUGUGCAUUACAACUCAUUUAUAAUAGAAACAAGUGCUAAACACCUUGGAACUGGGAAAGAAGUAUUUCAUAUUAUUUUGCACAAGUCUUGCAGACAGCAAAGGAUUAUGGACUAUAGAAAAAUUAGGGUGAUGUUUCUCCUUGUUAGCAAAUGAAAGGGAUUAUUGUAUUUCUCCAAUCAGACAGGAUGCAAUCCAACAUGCUAACCUGUCAGGAAGUUUGACUGUUUGUUUUUUUUUUUCUUGUCUGGUUUUGUUUUGAAUCAGGUUAGUUUUGUGGUCUUGAAUUCACCUUGCCAUGUUAUUGGAUGGAAACAGUGUCCAGCACAAAGCAAGGAACAGAGCACUGUAACAUGCAGAAAGAGAACGGUCACCAGUGGAAAUUCCUGUCUUAGCAGAUUGAGAUAAUAUAACUUCCUCCCAUCCUAACUUACAAAAUGCCAAAAUUUCUCAUUGCAAAGACCAAAAAGUGUCUUUACUUGAAGAUAUGCUUAUACAUUUCUAAAAGUUCAGAAAUGCUGAUACGCUGCAGACUUUAAGCUAAAGUCUGAUUUUGUCUUGCAAAGUAAGUGUUUUUCUAUCUAUUCCACUUACUGAGCCCAAUCUGGCAAAUGCAGCCAGAGGCAAAUCACAAUCCCAGCAAGAAUAUGCACGCUGUUCCUUCUAUCCUUUUCACCUGGGAUGUGGGAAGCCCUUCCAAAGGAAGGAAUUUAGACCAAGACAUCUCAUUCUCAGGUGAUCUGACUGCUUACUGGUGAAACGUUACGGAGGAGGACCCUAAUCUUCCCUGCCUGACCAUACCAAAUAUAUCUAUCAGUUAUUCAUUUUGUCAGAAAGAGACAAUCACCCUUUCCUACCUCCACAGUCCUGGAAGUGAGAACUAACAGUAUUCCCCUGGGAUACGGAAUACGUAAGUACUUUGUCCAUUAACUAUGGAAAGUGGAAGAGCUGCAACUUAAAAUGACUGAGGAGUAUCUUUUCUCUGUGAGAAUUAAAAAAACUGUAGCACAUUUUCAUUCAAUAAUCACCAGAUUCUUACAGAAAAAUGAAGGAACUGAGUUUCUCACUUCAUACCGUCUGUGAUCCUGCUGAAGAGCUUGAUUAAAGCAUUUAAAGAAAACUUUAUAAAAUUCCAAGACUGGUUGAAAAAAUCCUAGAAAUAGGCAAUCUCAGAAGGAGCCACAAAAUAAAACGGAAUCUGAAAAAAAA